ACUCCUACGGGAGGCAGCAGUGGGGAAUAUUGGGCAAUGGGCGCAAGCCUGACCCAGCAAUACCGCGUGUGUGAAAAGGCCUGAGGGUUGUAAAGCACUUUCAGUGGGGAGGAAAGGUUAAUGGUUAAUACCCAUUAGCUGUGAGUUACCCACAGAAGAAGCACCGGCUAACUCCGUGCCAGCAGCCGCGGUAAUACGGAGGGUGCAAGCGUUAAUCGGAAUUACUGGGCGUAAAGCGCGCGUAGGCGGUUGUAUAAGUCAGUCGUGAAAGCCCUGGGGCUUAACCUGGGAACUGCGAUUGAAACUGUAUAACUAGAGUAUGGUAGAGGUGAGUGGAAUUUCCGGUGUAGCGGUGAAAUGCGUAGAUAUCGGAAGGAACACCAGUGGCGAAGGCGACUCACUGGACCAAUACUGACGCUUAGGUGCGAAAGCGUGGGUAGCGAACAGGAUUAGAUA
rnacentral:rRNA from 1 species